AUAGCGUAUAUUAAAGUUGUUGCAGUUAAAAAGCUCGUAGUUGAACUUCAGGCCUGGGCGGGCGGUCUGCCUCACGGUAUGUACUGUCUGCCUGGGUCUUACUUCUUGGUGAGCCGGCAUGCUCUUUACUGGGUGUGUCGGGGAACCAGGACUUUUACCUUGAGAAAAUUAGAGUGUUCAAAGCAGGCCUAUGCCCGAAUACAUUAGCAUGGAAUAAUAAAAUAGGACGUGCGGUUCUAUUUUGUUGGUUUCUAGAGUCGCCGUAAUGAUUAAUAGGGAUAGUUGGGGGCAUUAGUAUUCAGUUGCUAGAGGUGAAAUUCUUGGAUUUACUGAAGACUAACUACUG
rnacentral:rRNA from 1 species